UGAGGGCUGGGGUAAAGUGUGAGACUGAGUGCUGGGGAAAAUGUGAGUGCUGGGGCAAAGUGUGAGUGCUGGGGCAAAGUGUGAGUGCUGGGGCAAAAAAAAGUCCUGGCUCCUAACUUUUUUAGCUGGCUCCUAGAU